UGGGAGAGGCCGAAGAAGAAGAAAGAAGAAGAAGAAGAAGGAGGAGAAGAAGACUCAAUAUAAUCAAAAAGUUUAAGAACCGGGAAAAGCUGAAAGGAAGUGACAUCUUCCCAGCCAACAUGUCCAGAAACGGUCAUCACUCACUAUCACAGGAGCACCUGACCUGACCUGGAUAACCUGACAUCUUUUUCACGGUAGCCUGAUGCAGAACCCUUUGCUGAAAACUGUCAUUAAGAAAGAGCUGGAGACAGCGCUUGGUAAAUGUUUCACAAAUGCAAGACACAGAGAAGGCAACCGUGCUUUGAGAGCCCAGCAGGACCAUGAUCGGAGGGCAGUACAGCCAGAAGUGUGUGCAGCCGAGGAAUCUGCAUAGACCCACCAGUGAACAAUUUUACUCAG